rnacentral:rRNA from 1 species
GAUAAGUGCUGAAAGCAUCUAAGCACGAAACUUGCCCCGAGAUGAGUUCUCCCUGAGACUUUAAGUCUCCUGAAGGAACGUUAGAAGACGACGACGUUGGAGUAGGACCGGGUGUGUAAGCGCAGCGAUGCGUUGAGCUAACCGGUACUAAUGAACCGUGAGGCUUAACCUUACAACGCCGAAG